rnacentral:rRNA from 1 species
AUACGUAGGGGGCGAGCGUUGUCCGGAAUGAUUGGGCGUAAAGGGCGCGUAGGCGGCUUUGCAAGUCAGUAGUGGAAGUCCAUUUUUCAAGGAUGGAAGUGCUACAGAAACUGCGGAGCUUGAGUGCAGGAGAGGUGAUCGGAAUUCCCGGUGUAGCGGUGAAAUGCGUAGAGAUCGGGAGGAACACCAGUGGCGAAGGCGGGUGACUGGACUGCAACUGACGCUGAGGCGCGAAAGUGUGGGGAGCAAACAGGAUUAGAUACCCUGGUAGUCCACACUGUAAACGAUGAAUGCUAGGUGUAGGAGGUAUCGACCCCUUCUGUGCCGCAGUAAACACAGUAAGCAUUCCGCCUGGGGAGUACGGUCGCAAGAUUAAAACUCAAAGGAAUUGACGGGG